UUUAUUUGACGGUAAUCAACCCAGAAAGUCACGGCUAACUACGUGCCAGCAGCCGCGGUAAUACGUAGGUGGCAAGCGUUGUCCGGAUUUAUUGGGCGUAAAGCGAGCGCAGGCGGAAGAAUAAGUCUGAUGUGAAAGCCCUCGGCUUAACCGAGGAACUGCAUCGGAAACUGUUUUUCUUGAGUGCAGAAGAGGAGAGUGGAACUCCAUGUGUAGCGGUGGAAUGCGUAGAUAUAUGGAAGAACACCAGUGGCGAAGGCGGCUCUCUGGUCUGCAACUGACGCUGAGGCUCGAAAGCAUGGGUAGCGAACAGGAUUAGAUACCCUGGUAGUCCAUGCCGUAAACGAUGAGUGCUAAGUGUUGGGAGGUUUCCGCCUCUCAGUGCUGCAGCUAACGCAUUAAGCACUCCGCCUGGGGAGUACGACCGCAAGGUUGAAACUCAAAGGAAUUGACGGGGGCCCGCACAAGCGGUGGAGCAUGUGGUUUAAUUCGAAGCUACGCGAAGAACCUUACCAGGUCUUGACAUCUUGCGCCAACCUCAGAGAUGAGGCGUUCCCUUCGGGGACGCAAUGACAGGUGGUGCAUGGUCGUCGUCAGCUCGUGUCGUGAGAUGUUGGGUUAAGUCCCGCAACGAGCGCAACCCUUGUUACUAGUUGCCAGCAUUCAGUUGGGCACUCUAGUGAGACUGCCGGUGACAAACCGGAGGAAGGUGGGGACGACGUCAGACCAUCAUGCCCUUUAUGACCUGGGCUACACACGUGCUACAAUGGGCGGUACAACGAGCAGCGAACUCGCGAGGGUAAGCUAAUCUCUUAAAACCGUUCUCAGUUCGGACUGCAGUCUGCAACUCGACUGCACGAAGUCGGAAUCGCUAGUAAUCGCGGAUCAGCAUGCCGCGGUGAAUACGUUCCCGGGCCUUGUACACACCGCCCGUCACACCAUGGGAGUUUGCAAUGCUCAAAGCCGGUGGCCCAACCUUCGGGAAGGAGCCGUCUAAGGCAGGGCAGAUGACUGGGGUG
rnacentral:rRNA from 1 species